ensembl:miRNA mir146a microRNA 146a
GAGUGCUCUGCUGUGAGAACUGAAUUCCAUAGAUGGUGACAUUUGUAUGUGUCAUCUAUGGGCUCAGUUCUUUUGGC